UAAAGCACAUUAUUCUGUGGUAAAUGAUACUCAGAUGUUCUACAGCAGCAAGGAAUUCAAUAUAUGGGUACCCAUUGAAGGCCUGAUUCCAUUUUCUAACUCCACAGUGCAAGUGAAUGCAUCCAACAGCCAGGGCAGCUUGAUAAGUGAUGCUGUAACAAUUGUCAGGCCUCCAGGAGGGCUUGACACCUUCAGCAGCACUGGCGGGGGGAUGGGUCCAGCUGCCUCUUCCCAGCCUGCAGAAGUCCCCUGGCAAUCCUAGAAUGCGUAAGUCAUGAACCAUUUCAGUCUCUAACAGCACAAGGUAAUGGCUGUCGGGAUUUUGAAGCUGUUAAACAAAACAGGGGGAGAUGGGGUGGAUCAUGGACCAGAGCAGAACUUAAAGGGUUACCGAAGCAGAGGACAUUGCCAGAAUGAAGAGAAUGUGGCAGAAGGUGGGAGGAACUGUCUACAGUGUGCGUGGAGCCAAAGGUCGUGUGACCCAAAACAAGAUGAUUGAAGAAGAAAGCGUGUUGAAAACUGAUAGGUGUAAAGAUGGGCAUUAGUUGUUAAUAGGUAGAAAUAUGCUCACUGUAAUUUUAUAGGGCCAGGUAUUGCUUGUUGAUAGGUUAUAGAUGAAACUAAUUCUUCUAGAAAUAGAGGCCUGAAAUAAAUAAAUUAUUCUCUUGCAUC